rnacentral:rRNA from 1 species
CCCUAGGUAGUGUGAUGAUAGGUGUUCUGAGGAAGUGUAUGGGGGCCUCGGAAUCCCUUCAGUUCGUUGGGUAGCGCCAAUGCUACGUAUGAAAAGAUUGAGCAAUAUUAAGUGGGCCCACCUCGCGCAAUCCGAGGCGGCCAGCUCAUUUCUUACCGACGAAUUGAAUAAGGCCCGGGGUAGAACUCUGGCUGGACUGAAUGAGUUGACAUCGCGUUCGGAGAUCGAAACGGUACUGGGCGAACAGGUUGUAUAUGUCUGUUGAUGGUCGCGGCUUACGUGAAGCGGGACUUUUUCGUCCCCAACACGGCUGGGUGUGUCAGCCCACGCGUUUGCUAACAGGUCAAGAUUACCGAAACGGUAUCAAGCUGCGAAUAAAUGCCCUACCAUCGAGGUCUCGUACCACGAGGGGCAGAAAUGAAUUGGAACGGCAAUGUCGUGCAGGUUGUGAUGCUCCCGAAACAACAAACCACAUCCUGCAGAAUUGUUACCGUACGCAUGGGAGGCGGGUAGCAAGACAUAACUGUGUAGUCAAUAACCUUAAGAGGAUUCUUGAGGAGAAGGGCCACACAGUACACGUCGAACCAAGUUUGCAGCUGGAAACCUCGGUAAGUAAACCAGACCUGGUGUGUAUCCGUGACAAUCACGCUUGCGUGAUUGAUGCGCAGAUUAUAACGGAUGGACUGUUUCUCGACGAUGUGCACCAUCGCAAAGUUGAGAAAUAUAAAAGACCGGAAGUUAUAUCUGCACUGCGGAGAGAAUUCGGAGUGUCGGGCAACGUCGAAGUCCUAUCCGCGACGUUAAACUGGCGUGGGAUCUGGAGCAAUCAAUCCGUUAGAAGAUUGAUAGCAAAGGGUCUCAUCUCAUCCGGUGACAGCAAUGUCAUUAGCGCCAGAGUGGUAACAGGCGGACUAUAUUGCUUCAGACAGUUCAUGUAUCUCGCAGGUUACACUCGAGAUUGGACUUAGCCUAUACACUAUGUUGGAGAGAAGACGCUUGCUACCUAGGCAUAAUGUGAAAUUAGGUAUAAACAUCGUGGUUGUAAAACUUGAGGUGGGUUUUUAGUACGUAUGCGUGAUUACUUCGUAAUCAUGAAUCGUGCAUGCUAGUGGGGUUUGGCCUCCACUAGUAUCUUUGAAGAUUUUCCUUCCUCAGCGAUCAAAAAAAAAAAAAAAAAAAAAAAAAAUAGCCAAAUGCCUCGUCAUUAACGAGAUUCCUACUGUCCCUAUCUACUUCGAUGGACUUGGAGUGCAGUACACGGAUGGCGACUGGACCUUCUCCGAUGUGACGGCUUCUCAGGAGAGAAUGCGGACUCUCGACAGGUUCGCCGGACUGGCGUUCUCCAGGCGACAGCAGCUGCUGAAUGCGCAAGCGGCGCACGGGCGGUGGAUUCCCUAUCCAGGCCGGUCGGGGCUAAAAGGGAGGAUCGAGCUGAGUCCUUAAGAUCGGUACCACGGGUUGUGCAGUUCCAAGGCUGCACAUUGAGGUCGGCCCCUAGUGGGAGUAUCGUGGUGGCUGUGGAUGAUACCCAAACGUUACCCGGGGAGAGCCGCUAGGCUCCUCGUGGAGUUGCGCUCUCAACCGGGUGCCGAGACCCAUAGAUCGGAAGACGUGUUAGAUACACCUCGACCCUCACCAAGGGGGAUUGUAUGCCGACCAGGAUACUUUCAAUUGGUACCAGAAGAGUCGCUAUGUACAUAGCUAUAGCUUCUUUUUAGGGGCGCUAACUGGCGCAUUGUACCAGGUUCCUGCGUAUGUAGCGGUGGUGGUGCGUGAUGGCGUGAUAUAUGUAAAUAUAUCGCACUAAUCGAGGCUAAGCUGCAGAUAAACAUUAGACGCCGUGGUUGAAAUCCCUCCCUGAGGAACCGCCACGUAAAAUAAAGCUGAGAGAUCAGAUUCAUUCUGUCCCUAUCUACUAUCUAGCGAAACCACAGCCAAGGAACGGGUUUGGAAUAAUUAGCGGGAAAGAAGACCCUUUUGAGCUUGACUCUAAUCUGGCAGUGUAAGGAGACAUAAGAGGUGUAGCAUAAGUGGGAGAUAUUAGAUUUCGGUUUGGUAUCGACAAUGAAAUACCACUACUCUUAUUGUUUCCUUACUUACUUGAUUAAAUGGAACGUGUAUCAUUUCCUAGCCAUUAUACGGAUAUAUUUAUUAUAUCUUAUGGUAUUGGGUUUUGAUGCAAGCUUCUUGAUCAAAGUAUCACGAGUUUGUUAUAUAAUCGCAAACAAAUUCUUUAAUGAGAAAAUGCAUUUAUGUAUUUUCAAUUUGAAAAUUUGGUAUAACUCCAAUUACUCAGGUAUGAUCCAAUUCAAGGACAUUGCCAGGUAGGGAGUUUGACUGGGGCGGUACAUCUCUCAAAUAAUAACGGAGGUGUCCCAAGGCCAGCUCAGUGCGGACAGAAACCACACAUAGAGCAAAAGGGCAAAUGCUGACUUGAUCUCGGUGUUCAGUACACACAGGGACAGCAAAAGCUCGGCCUAUCGAUCCUUUUGGUUUAAAGAGUUUUUAACAAGAGGUGUCAGAAAAGUUACCAUAGGGAUAACUGGCUUGUGGCGGCCAAGCGUUCAUAGCGACGUCGCUUUUUGAUCCUUCGAUGUCGGCUCUUCCUAUCAUUGUGAAGCAAAAUUCACCAAGCGUUGGAUUGUUCACCCAUGCAAGGGAACGUGAGCUGGGUUUAGACCGUCGUGAGACAGGUUAGUUUUACCCUACUAAUGACAAAACGUUGUUGCGACAGCAUUCCUGCGUAGUACGAGAGGAACCGCAGGUACGGACCAAUGGCACAAUACUUGUUCGAGCGAACAGUGGUAUGACGCUACGUCCGUUGGAUUAUGCCUGAACGGCUCUAAGGUCGUAUCCGUGCUGGACUGCAAUGAUAAAUAAGGGGCAAUUUGCAUUGUAUGGCUUCUAAACCAUUAAAAGUUUAUAAUUUAUUUUAUAAACGACAAUGGAUGUGAUGCCAAUGUAAUUUGUAACAUAGUAAAUUGGGAGGAUCAUCGAUCACCUGAUGCCGCGCUAGUUGCAUAUAAAAACAUUAUUUAAUACAAUGACAAAGCC